AGCAGCCGCGGUAAUUCCAGCUCCAAUAGCGUAUAUUAAAGUUGUUGCAGUUAAAAAGCUCGUAGUUGAAUUUCGGGGUUCCACCGUUGGUCGGGCUAUUGUCUGUACUGGCGUGUGGAAUUUCUACCUUCUGGGGAACUAUCAUGUUAUUAAUUUAGCGUGGUAGGAAACCAGGACCAUUACCUUGAAAAAAUUAGAGUGUUCAAAGCAGGCUUAUGUCUGAAUACAUUAGCAUGGAAUAAUAAAAUAGGACGGUGGUCCUGUUUUGUUGGUUUCUGAAUCACCGUAAUGAUUAAUAGGGAUAGUUGGGGGCAUUAGUAUUCAAUUGUCAGAGGUGAAAUUCUUGGAUUUAUUGAAGACUAACUACUGCGAAAGCAUUUGCCAAGGAUGUUUUCAUUAAUCAAGAACGAAAGUUAGGGGAUCGAAGACGAUCAGAUACCGUCGUAGUCUUAACCAUAAACUAUGCCGACUAGGGAUCGGACGAUGUUAACUUUUCUUGACUCGUUCGGCGCCUUACGGG
rnacentral:rRNA from 1 species